rnacentral:rRNA from 1 species
UACGAAGGGGGCUAGCGUUGCUCGGAAUCACUGGGCGUAAAGGGUGCGUAGGCGGGUCUUAAGUCAGGGGUGAAAUCCUGGAGCUCAACUCCAGAACUGCCUUUGAUACUGAAGAUCUUGAGUUCGGGAGAGGUGAGUGGAACUGCGAGUGUAGAGGUGAAAUUCGUAGAUAUUCGCAAGAACACCAGUGGCGAAGGCGGCUCAACUGGCCCCGA